UACGGAGGGUGCGAGCGUUGUCCGGAAUCAUUGGGCGUAAAGGGCGCGUAGGCGGCCUGUUAAGUCGGACGUGAAAUCCCUCGGCUCAACCGGGGAACUGCGUCCGAUACUGGCGGGCUUGAAUUCGGGAGAGGGAUGUGGAAUUCCAGGUGUAGCGGUGAAAUGCGUAGAUAUCUGGAGGAACACCGGUGGCGAAGGCGGCAUCCUGGACCGACAUUGACGCUGAGGCGCGAAAGCCAGGGGAGCAAACGGG
rnacentral:rRNA from 1 species